UGAAAUGUUUGAAAAAUCUUGAGAGUUGGUACACUUUACCAUUUUUGUCGAACGUUCAACAAGUGUCAACUCAACUGAAAUAUUUGAAUUAGAAUGUAUAAUUUAUAUCUGUUAUAUGAUAUCGAUUUACAUAAAAUAGUAGCUGGAUAUUGUAAGAAUAAUUUGCCAGUUCCAGCAAUGUGGAAGUUUAGUGAAAGUAAUAAAUACCGUCGGGAAAUUGAUGUAACAGUCUUGCUCUAAACUUCGAUCUAUCUCGUCAUUCUAUUACGAACCGUAACGCCUUAAACUACGACGGAUUGCUCUUUUUAAUAAGUGAAAGGUGUUUCAUAGUGGUCGACAUCUCAAUAUUAACUAGAAUGCUGUUUUUGGCUGAAAUGAAUUGUAUAUUCAAAAGAGUUACGAAAUCUCUUCUUUUCUAGUCAACCGAACAAGCAAUUUCCAUGAUGGGAAAGUCACGAUGGUGGUCACAUCCUUAGCAUGAAACUGUUCGAACGAAUAGAGAGUUGAAGAUGCAUCUGAGGUCGAAAAAAAUUAUGUUGGGUCGAAAGUGAAACUAUCAUUUCAACGUGGAAAUAUGAUCGAACGAUAAAAAAAAACAAUUUAAAUAAUGAAUUUCAUAAGAAACUCGUUAAAGAUUUUCGAGAUAUUUAUUUAAAAUUUAAAUUAUUAUUAUAUUUAUACAUGGAAUUUUUCAUAUUUAAGAGUGAAUUUCCGGCAUGUUUAUAAAUACAGUAAAAAACUGUGGCUGCAUCGUCCAGUGUCUCGAUGCGUCUUCGAGACGAUUCCAAUUCGAAAGUGAAACCUUACUCUGUAAUCAAUGAUGCGUCCAAUGUGCAGGUGAAAUUUUGAUAUUUAAUUGUAUGUUCAAUUGAAUGUCACGGAUGUGUUUAUCGAUCGGAUAAUAUAUAAAUCUAUGAAUCUUGUUUGAAAUUAGGAAUAAAAUUUUUUUCCUAUAAUGCAAGAUGAUAUGAUUUAUAAAAUUCGAGAAACCAUGAAAUUUUAAUCACUUUAUCAUUUUAAUCUCGAAAAUAUCCAAAUUAAAUUUGAAUAAUCAAAUUCCAAAACAUAAAGUUUGUAAAAUAUGUGAAUUUAGAAAUUGCCUCAAGCAUGUAGUAGAAUUAUCAUAUCGAUUUAUCAAAAAUCACCAAUAAAUUGUAACGUGCUCGAAUAUUUAAACUCCUUUAAACGUUUAAUAUAUUUGAACAUCCGAGAAUAUUCCAAAGUUCCAAAGUUUCUUUGUUUCUUACGCAAUCCAGGAAAUCCAAGAUAUUCGCGAGUUGUGUGUACUUCACUCGUACUCGAUUUACACGAAGUCGCGUAAGAUUACGAUCGAUGAUAAGAGGGGAAAGAAAAAAAAAAAAAAAAAAAA
rnacentral:lncRNA from 1 species